ncrna:unclassified sequences Rhodo-rpoB RNA
AGGUCGGGAGGCCCCCGGUGGGACGGGCGCCAGGAAUUGACCGAAACGAUCCGCUCUCACGCGGGGUCCGGCCGUCGCCCAACGGCUAGGACC